GACGGAGGGUGCUAGCGUUAUCCGGAAUGAUUGGGCGUAAAGCGUCCGCAGGUGGCAGUUCAAGUCUGCUGUCAAAGCCCGGGGCUUAACUUCGGAAAGGCAGUGGAAACUGAACAGCUAGAGUAUGGGAGGGGCAGAGGGAAUUCCUGGUGUAGCGGUGAAAUGCGUAGAUAUCAGGAAGAACAUCGGUGGCGAAGGCGCUCUGCUGGACCAUAACUGACACUCAGGGACGAAAGCGAGGGGAGCGAAUGGG
rnacentral:rRNA from 1 species